AGUGAACGCUGGCGGUAGGCCUAACACAGGCAAGUCGAACGGCAGCACAGUAAGAUCUUGCGCUUACGGGUGGCGAGUGGCGGAGGGGUGAGGAAUACAUCGGAAUCUACUUUUUCGUGGGGGAUAACGUAGGGAAACUUACGCUAAUACCGCAUACGACCUACGGGUGAAAGCAGGGGAUCUUCGGACCUUGCGCGAUUGAAUGAGCCGAUGUCGGGUUAGCUAGUUGGCGGGGUAAAGGCCCACCAAGGCGACGAUCCGUAGCUGGACUGAGAGGAUGAUCAGCCACACUGGAACUGAGACACGGUCCAGACGCCUGCGGGAGGCAGCAGUGGGGAAUAUUGGACAAUGGGCGCAAGCCUGAUCCAGCCAUACCGCGUGGGUGAAGAAGGCCUUCGGGUUGUAAAGACCUUUUGUUGGGAAAGAAAAGCAGCAGGUUAAUACCCAGCUGUUCUGACGGUAACCAAAGAAUAAGCACCGGCUAACUUCGUG
rnacentral:rRNA from 1 species